rnacentral:rRNA from 1 species
UACAGAGGGCGCGAGCGUUGUCCGGAAUCACUGGGCGUAAAGAGCUCGUAGGCGGUUUGUCGCGUCUGCUGUGAAAACUCGGGGCUUAACCCCGGGCCUGCAGUGGGUACGGGCAGACUAGAGUGCGGUAGGGGAGACUGGAAUUCCUGGUGUAGCGGUGAAAUGCGCAGAUAUCAGGAGGAACACCGGUGGCGAAGGCGGGUCUCUGGGCCGUAACUGACGCUGAGGAGCGAAAGCGUGGGGAGCGAACAGG